UACAGGGGGGGCAAGCGUUGUUCGGAAUUACUGGGCGUAAAGGGCUCGUAGGUGGCCGACUAAGUCAGACGUGAAAUCCCUCAGCUUAACUGGGGAACUGCCUUUGAUACUGGCGAUCUCGAGUCCGGGAGAGGUGAGUGGAACUGCGAGUGUAGAGGUGAAAUUCGUAGAUAUUCGCAAGAACACCAGUGGCGAAGGCGGCUCACUGGCCCGGUACUGACGCUGAGGUGCGAAAGCGUGGGGAGCAAACAGG
rnacentral:rRNA from 1 species